UACGGAGGAUGCAAGCGUUAUCCGGAAUGAUUGGGCGUAAAGCGUCCGCAGGUGGCAAUGUAAGUCUGCUGUCAAAGCGUCUGGCUCAACCAGAUAAAGGCAGUGGAAACUACAUAGCUAGAGUAAGGUAGAGGUAGAGGGAAUUCCUGGUGUAGCGGUGAAAUGCGUAGAGAUCAGGAAGAACACCGGUGGCGAAAGCGCUCUGCUGGACCUUAACUGACACUGAGGGACGAAAGCUAGGGGAGCGAAUGGG
rnacentral:rRNA from 1 species